UACGGGGGGUGCGAGCGUUGUCCGGAAUCACUGGGCGUAAAGGGCGCGUAGGUGGUCUUGUAAGUCUGUGGUGAAAGCCCGGGGCUCAACCCCGGGUCUGCCGCGGAUACUGUGAGACUUGAGUACUGUAGAGGCUGGUAGAAUGCCGGGUGUAGCGGUGGAAUGCGUAGAGAUCCGGCAGAAGACCGGUGGCGAAGGCGGCCAGCUGGGCAGUAACUGACACUGAGGCGCGACAGCGUGGGGAGCAAACAGG
rnacentral:rRNA from 2 species